rnacentral:pre_miRNA from 1 species
UAAAUACUCCCUCCGUCCGAAAAUACUUGUCAUCAAAAUGGAUAAAAAGAGAUGUAUCUAAAACUAAAAUAUGUCUAGAUACAUUUCCUUUUAUCCAUUUUGAUGACAAGUAUUUCCGGAUGGAGGGAGUAUUUG